rnacentral:rRNA from 1 species
UACGUAGGGUGCAAGCGUUGUCCGGGAUUAUUGGGCGUAAAGAGCUCGUAGGCGGUUUGUCACGUCGGCUGUGAAAACCCGAGGCUCAACCUCGGGCCUGCAGUCGAUACGGGCAGACUAGAGUAUGGCAGGGGAGACUGGAAUUCCUGGUGUAGCGGUGAAAUGCGCAGAUAUCAGGAGGAACACCGGUGGCGAAGGCGGGUCUCUGGGCCAUAACUGACGCUGAGGAGCGAAAGCGUGGGGAGCGAACAGG